rnacentral:ncRNA from 2 species
CAGGCACGCGCGGGAGAGUGUGGGGUUACCCACCGCCGAAGGAGCAACCGCCCCGGAAUCUCUCAGGCACAAGGGACCGCGCGGGCACG